UUUGUGGAACCAUGCUUUCUAAUUGAAUCUUUUGUCAAAUAAUUGUGGUAUGUUUUAGCUGUAUGUCAAACAAUAUGAAACAGGUGGUGCUGGUUCUUUUAGUAAAGACGGAUAGACACUUGUGUUCUGUAUAAACUGUAUAAUGUUACAAUCUUAAGUGAAUAUUCUUUCACCCACAACCCAAUCUUCCUCACAUUUCUUGUUCCUCCAUUUUCUUUGAAUCCCUAUGUGUAGGAUGGGGCAGGAGCAGGAGCAAGGGAAGGUCCUGCAGCAAACGGAGACGCCUGAGGAGCCACGGCUGAGCAUUCAUGGUCAUAGCAGUCUACAGGGUGGUCAAGUACAUCUUCACAGACUUUGUGGCUCCGUUGGUGGGGUUUGUCAGGCAGACAGUUGUUACUAUCGUCAAAGACUAUUCCUCUGGAAGUCAGGUUCCUGCAGAUACCUUCUUCUUCAGAGAAAUAGUUGUCAGAGACGGUAAGGUUCUGCAGGCUAGGCAGAACGCAGACUCCAAGAGGGACAGCGCCAGUGAACAUGUUAUGGUCCAGAUUCAGCAGCUCAAGAUGUCCUAGCCCAGCGAGACUGUAAGGCACAGGACCAACUAAAGCCCUAGGACUCACCAAACCGGCCGAAUUGUGAGCUUUCGCUGGUCCUGGAGCCGGAGCAAGAGCUUCAGAUUCAGAAAGAACCACUCUCGGAGAAGGCGCAGGAGAUGACAAAGCCUGAUGGCUUGGAGACAGAGUCGAUGACGGUGAGGGCGAUGGAGAUGGCUGACGAGGACUGUGGCUGUGGUGGGCGGUGGACAUGACCUUGACGGGUAGCUUCUGACCUUUGAGACAAUUUUCUGAGUUGCCGCUGACAAAAAAGAACGGACCUGAGCGGCUAAGAACAUAGAGAGAGUCUCCGUCCGUGAGGGAGGUUAUUGGGUGAGUAGUGUUGCAUGUGUUGAAUUCUUCUUCACUCACCUCCAACACUGAAUCUUUCCCCUUAGGGUACUUAAAAUCUAGCAAAAUCAAAAGUCGAAUUAGUUGAUAUAUAGUAUCAUGAAUUAUGAUGUUACUAUUAUGACAUUAACACAUGAAUGUGUAUAUAGAAGAGGAGAGAGAGAGAGAGACUUACAAAGAGUGUCAUUGACCUGAAACCGGCUUCGAUAAGACCAAUGAGAAUAGUCCUCGGAUGGAGUAAGGACCCAACCAUCUCUCCCACCAACAUAGAACUUGUACCCAUUUGAAAACCCAAUUGCAAACCCCAAACUCACUAACAUCACAGUCAUCAAAUAAGCAUCAAACCUUUUGAUCAAACCCAUCUCUCCAAACUUUGACUAGACCUCAAAUAAAUCAGUCUCUUGAAAUGUGUGUUGCUCUUCAGUGCUUGUAUGCGUAUUUAUAGUGAAAGUAGAGAAGUCAUAGCCGUUAACUUUUGGCUGCAUCAACUUCGACUCUCUAGAGAAUAUGCAAAAUUAAUAAGAAGCGUUUCAAGUUUUGCUCCUCUCUUGUUUUCUUCACACGUUUUAACAUGCAAUGGACUUAACGGCCAUCUCUCUUCUUUUCACACUUUUUAUUUACUCCCUCCGCAAAUCACAAACAACCAUUUGAAACUAGAUCUUCUAAUUUGUCAGUCAUUUAAUAUAAAGGUGAAAUUCAAUUUUUUUUUAAAAAAUAACUUGCGUAACGUAUUGUCUUCAUUUUAUAUAAGAAAAAAGAGGUAUUAACUCUGGACAGAAAGUAUACAAAUGAGCUAAAAGCCUAAAAAACCAACUAGGAGUUCAAAAUAAUUAAAAAACUAAUGUGCUUUUGUAAAUGAUCAAGAAUGUUAAAAGAAAGGCUUUAAAGAUUUUAUCCUCUAUAUUUACAGCCCAACUAGUUGGACAAUAUUAGAAUAAACUUUUUACUAUUUUCAUGUAACAUAACACAUUUCUUUCUUUUUUUUGUCAACGUAACAUAACACAUUUCAUCCUCUACCUUUAAAGCCCAACUAUUUCUAUAAGUGGAUGGAUGCUUUCUUCAGUAUGCCUAGCUUAGAGAGGAGCUAAUUGUGAAGCUUCAAAAUAUUCUUCAGCCACGUAUAUUUAGCUUCUGAUACAGCCAACAAUCUUCUACUGCUUCCUCUACAGUCUGAAGAAAACCCAAACCCUAGUUUCACUAGAAGUUGUGAGAUGGAAAAGCUGGAACCUCUAGGGGUUUUGGGAUCAGAGUUCAAAACUCGAUAAUGGAGCGACCAGGUUUGUGUUUUAGAUUUAUCUUCUUAUCACUAUUGAGCUGAUCACACUUUAGUGAAAUGCCCACCAUUGACUAUAUUGAAGCUCUGUGAUAAUUGCUUGGCCUUUGUGGAACCAUGCUUUCUAAUUGAAUCUUUUGUCAAAUAAUUGUGGUAUGUUUUAGCUGUAUGUCAAACAAUAUGAAACAGGUGGUGCUGGUUCUUUUAGUAAAGACGGAUAGACACUUGUGUUCUGUAUAAACUGUAUAAUGUUACAAUCUUAAGUGAAUAUUCUUUCACCCACAACCCAAUCUUCCUCACAUUUCUUGUUCCUCCAUUUUCUUUGAAUCCCUAUGUGUAGGAUGGGGCAGGAGCAGGAGCAAGGGAAGGUCCUGCAGCAAACGGAGACGCCUGAGGAGCCACGGCUGAGCAUUCAUGGUCAUAGCAGUCUACAGGGUGGUCAAGUACAUCUUCACAGACUUUGUGGCUCCGUUGGUGGGGUUUGUCAGGCAGACAGUUGUUACUAUCGUCAAAGACUAUUCCUCUGGAAGUCAGGUUCCUGCAGAUACCUUCUUCUUCAGAGAAAUAGUUGUCAGAGACGGUAAGGUUCUGCAGGCUAGGCAGAACGCAGACUCCAAGAGGGACAGCGCCAGUGAACAUGUUAUGGUCCAGAUUCAGCAGCUCAAGAUGUCCUAGCCCAGCGAGACUGUAAGGCACAGGACCAACUAAAC
rnacentral:lncRNA from 1 species